CCUACGGGUGGCAGCAGUGGGGAAUAUUGGGCAAUGGUCGCAAGCCUGACCCAGCAAAGCCGCGUGAAGGAAGAAGGCUUUCGGGUUGUAAACUUCCUUUAAUGGGGAAGAGGAGAAGACGGUACGCCUUGGAUAAGCCACGGCUAACUACGUACCAGCAGCCGCGGUAAUACGUAGGUGGCAAGCGGUGUCCGGAUUUACUGGGUGUAAAGGGCGUGCAGCCGGGAGGACAAGUCAGAUGUGAAAUCCCGCGGCUCAACCCCGGAACUGCAUUUGAAACUGUUUUUCUUGAGUACCGGAGAGGUCAUCGGAAUUCGUUGUGUAGCGGUGAAAUGCGUAGAUAUAAGGAAGAACACCAGUUGCGAAGGCGGAUGACUGGACGGCAACUGACGGUGAGGCGCGAAAGCGUGGGGAGCAAACAGGAUUAGAUACCCUUGUAGUC
rnacentral:rRNA from 1 species